ensembl:snoRNA
UCAGGAUUCACCCUGCACCCAGCUGCGGUCCCUAGUGAGUGCUGUUUCUCUCUGCUGCAGAAACAUUCCAGGGUGCCGUGCUUACCUUGGCCUGGCAGGGGUGAUGCAACAGCCCAGGGACACCCUG